rnacentral:rRNA from 1 species
UUAAGCGACUAAGCGUACACGGUGGAUGCCCUGGCAGUCAGAGGCGAUGAAGGACGUGCUAAUCUGCGAUAAGCGUCGGUAAGGUGAUAUGAACCGUUAUAACCGGCGAUUUCCGAAUGGGGAAACCCAGUGUGAUUCGUCACACUAUCAUUAACUGAAUCCAUAGGUUAAUGAGGCGAACCGGGGGAACUGAAACAUCUAAGUACCCCGAGGAAAAGAAAUCAACCGAGAUUCCCCCAGUAGCGGCGAGCGAACGGGGAGCAGCCCAGAGCCUGAAUCAGUGUGUGUGUUAGUGGAAGCGUCUGGAAAGGCGUGCGAUACAGGGUGACAGCCCCGUACACAAAAAUGCACAUACUGUGAGCUCGAUGAGUAGGGCGGGACACGUGGUAUCCUGUCUGAAUAUGGGGGGACCAUCCUCCAAGGCUAAAUACUCCUGACUGACCGAUAGUGAACCAGUACCGUGAGGGAAAGGCGAAAAGAACCCCGGCGAGGGGAGUGAAAAAGAACCUGAAACCGUGUACGUACAAGCAGUGGGAGCACAGAGCAAUCUGUGUGACUGCGUACCUUUUGUAUAAUGGGUCAGCGACUUAUAUUCUGUAGCAAGGUUAACCGAAUAGGGGAGCCGAAGGGAAACCGAGUCUUAACUGGGCGUUAAGUUGCAGGGUAUAGACCCGAAACCCGGUGAUCUAGCCAUGGGCAGGUUGAAGGUUGGGUAACACUAACUGGAGGACCGAACCGACUAAUGUUGAAAAAUUAGCGGAUGACUUGUGGCUGGGGGUGAAAGGCCAAUCAAACCGGGAGAUAGCUGGUUCUCCCCGAAAGCUAUUUAGGUAGCGCCUCGUGAAUUCAUCUCCGGGGGUAGAGCACUGUUUCGGCAAGGGGGUCAUCCCGACUUACCAACCCGAUGCAAACUGCGAAUACCGGAGAAUGUUAUCACGGGAGACACACGGCGGGUGCUAACGUCCGUCGUGAAGAGGGAAACAACCCAGACCGCCAGCUAAGGUCCCAAAGUCAUGGUUAAGUGGGAAACGAUGUGGGAAGGCCCAGACAGCCAGGAUGUUGGCUUAGAAGCAGCCAUCAUUUAAAGAAAGCGUAAUAGCUCACUGGUCGAGUCGGCCUGCGCGGAAGAUGUAACGGGGCUAAACCAUGCACCGAAGCUGCGGCAGCGACGCUUAUGCGUUGUUGGGUAGGGGAGCGUUCUGUAAGCCUGCGAAGGUGUGCUGUGAGGCAUGCUGGAGGUAUCAGAAGUGCGAAUGCUGACAUAAGUAACGAUAAAGCGGGUGAAAAGCCCGCUCGCCGGAAGACCAAGGGUUCCUGUCCAACGUUAAUCGGGGCAGGGUGAGUCGACCCCUAAGGCGAGGCCGAAAGGCGUAGUCGAUGGGAAACAGGUUAAUAUUCCUGUACUUGGUGUUACUGCGAAGGGGGGACGGAGAAGGCUAUGUUGGCCGGGCGACGGUUGUCCCGGUUUAAGCGUGUAGGCUGGUUUUCCAGGCAAAUCCGGAAAACUAAGGCUGAGGCGUGAUGACGAGGCACUACGGUGCUGAAGCAACAAAUGCCCUGCUUCCAGGAAAAGCCUCUAAGCAUCAGGUAACAUCAAAUCGUACCCCAAACCGACACAGGUGGUCAGGUAGAGAAUACCAAGGCGCUUGAGAGAACUCGGGUGAAGGAACUAGGCAAAAUGGUGCCGUAACUUCGGGAGAAGGCACGCUGAUAUGUAGGUGAAGUCCCUCGCGGAUGGAGCUGAAAUCAGUCGAAGAUACCAGCUGGCUGCAACUGUUUAUUAAAAACACAGCACUGUGCAAACACGAAAGUGGACGUAUACGGUGUGACGCCUGCCCGGUGCCGGAAGGUUAAUUGAUGGGGUUAGCGCAAGCGAAGCUCUUGAUCGAAGCCCCGGUAAACGGCGGCCGUAACUAUAACGGUCCUAAGGUAGCGAAAUUCCUUGUCGGGUAAGUUCCGACCUGCACGAAUGGCGUAAUGAUGGCCAGGCUGUCUCCACCCGAGACUCAGUGAAAUUGAACUCGCUGUGAAGAUGCAGUGUACCCGCGGCAAGACGGAAAGACCCCGUGAACCUUUACUAUAGCUUGACACUGAACAUUGAGCCUUGAUGUGUAGGAUAGGUGGGAGGCUUUGAAGUGUGGACGCCAGUCUGCAUGGAGCCGACCUUGAAAUACCACCCUUUAAUGUUUGAUGUUCUAACGUUGACCCGUAAUCCGGGUUGCGGACAGUGUCUGGUGGGUAGUUUGACUGGGGCGGUCUCCUCCUAAAGAGUAACGGAGGAGCACGAAGGUUGGCUAAUCCUGGUCGGACAUCAGGAGGUUAGUGCAAUGGCAUAAGCCAGCUUGACUGCGAGCGUGACGGCGCGAGCAGGUGCGAAAGCAGGUCAUAGUGAUCCGGUGGUUCUGAAUGGAAGGGCCAUCGCUCAACGGAUAAAAGGUACUCCGGGGAUAACAGGCUGAUACCGCCCAAGAGUUCAUAUCGACGGCGGUGUUUGGCACCUCGAUGUCGGCUCAUCACAUCCUGGGGCUGAAGUAGGUCCCAAGGGUAUGGCUGUUCGCCAUUUAAAGUGGUACGCGAGCUGGGUUUAGAACGUCGUGAGACAGUUCGGUCCCUAUCUGCCGUGGGCGCUGGAGAACUGAGGGGGGCUGCUCCUAGUACGAGAGGACCGGAGUGGACGCAUCACUGGUGUUCGGGUUGUCAUGCCAAUGGCACUGCCCGGUAGCUAAAUGCGGAAGAGAUAAGUGCUGAAAGCAUCUAAGCACGAAACUUGCCCCGAGAUGAGUUCUCCCUGACUCCUUGAGAGUCCUGAAGGAACGUUGAAGACGACGACGUUGAUAGGCCGGGUGUGUAAGCGCAGCGAUGCGUUGAGCUAACCGGUACUAAUGAACCGUGAGGCUUAACCU